rnacentral:lncRNA from 1 species
CAAACAAAAAUCCAGUGAAGUAAGUGAAAAUAUUUCUACGGAAUGGAGAAGAAUAUCAUGCUAUAAAAAGGUUAUUAUUUUUUUUAAUCUCAUUCAUAGAAAUAUAUAUAGAAAUAGCAUCAAGAUUAACAAGAUCUGAGUCUUCCUAAAAGGACUUUGCCAGAAUAUCAUAUCUACUGGACAUCUUUACCCUAUAUAAGUAGAAUAAGAGUCACUGUGGGUCUGUGGUCAUUUUUUUCUCCUACAUAUUUAAUUCCUAUAUACACCCCCUUUCUAAGAAUUUUUGCAUGGAUUUAAAGUUUCAUGAUACAUUUUAGAAAAAAAAUAGUUUUUCAAUUUUUUUACAUACAAUGCAAAAGGAACAGAUGAUACUUUGUUUAAAAACAUUCAUUACAAACAAGUGAAACAAAAAUGUAACAAAUGAAAAUACAACAAUCUUGUUCAGAACAUUUCUACAUUUUUUUUUUAAGGAGUGGGAAAUGAGGACUAUCAUCAAGCAUCUAGUGUUAGAUUUCAGUACACUCACAGGUUAGAAAAAGAUCUGAAACUAAUAAGAUAAAAACUAGAAACAAGUGCAGUUUAUUAUACUUAAGGGUGUGGAGGAAAAGGGAGAUUGGAAACAAAGGCAUGAAAGCAAACUUUUUGUUUGUUUGUUUGUUUGUUUGUUUUUUUUUUAACCAGGCAGCAGCACUACCAAGCGAACCUGCAGUUACGACAGAUAGAAAACUGAAUAUUACAGUGAUACUGUUGGCCUCGUUAUCAGCUGUAUUGAUUUUGGAAAGAUUCAAAGCUAAAAUUGGUUGAAAGCAUCCUUGUAUGGGACUAAAAGGUAAGAGAUCCUGAGAUUAUCCUAAGUUAUCUGCGUUACCCUUGUGGCAACUUCAAACUUAUCUUAACUUUGGGAUGCUGCAAAUCCCAUCUGUGGCUGGAACCCCUUGUAGAAAAGAUCUCAGGAUGAGAUCUCAUCUACAAGCUAAUGAUUUCUAUCAUUAGUUGUGUGGCAGUGCUGUGAGGAUGCAUAUAUGGGAGGUGAGUACUUGUGAGGAAAGAGGUUCUCUGUUCCCACAAGGUUGGCCUCAAAGUUAUUCUUUAGGAAAGUAAAAUGCAAAAUUGAUAAACUUAUUCUUAAACACAGACUUGAACUUAUUUCUACAGGGGAAUCCAGCUAUUCUGCUCCAUCCUGGUCCUGGCUGUUGAACCCUUAGGGCAGCUCAGUCAUAAGUUGUUUCCCAAACUGAACUGUGAACCGGGACUGUGGAUGUGACUGGCUUUUGGAUGGGGAGAAGCUAUGUUUGUAUGUACCAAGACCUGAUCUGAAAAGACUAUAUAGAAGAAUGGGCUGCAAUGUUGCAGCUGAGGUAUAGUAAUGAAGUAAAUAGCCUAGAACCUGUAAUGAACUAAAUGAACUAAUUUAACUUCAGUGAAGAGAUUACAGCAGUCUUCUUUCGUGAAACUUAAGCUAUGAAGUAAGGCACUGUGUAAUGCAAAACAAUGGUCACAGUUCUUCAAGGAAGUGCAGUGUUAAUUUUUUUCUUUAAAUCUCUCUGAAGUUAAAUUGUUAUCUAAUAUUUUAGGUGAUGUACUUCAGAUUUUACUAACAAAAACAUGUACGCACAGAAACAUACUUUAUCAUGUGUAAAACUGCUUUUUACUUUUAUACUAUGGUAUAGUAUAGGGAUGCUUCCAGUUUAGCAAGCUGGAGUCCCACUUCUAGCACUUGAGAUUAAAGCACUUGUAUCAGUGCUCAAUUAUUUCAAGACUGAACUUAAAGUAGCUUUCUGCUUAAGGACUGAGCAGAGGUCCU